AUUGAACGCUGGCGGAAUGCUUUACACAUGCAAGUCGAACGGCAGCACGGACUUCGGUCUGGGGGCGAGUGGCGAACGGGGGAGUAAUGUAUCGGAACGUGCCCAGUCGUGGGGGAUAACGUAGUGAAAAUCACGCUAAUACCGCAUACGAUCUCUGGAUGAAAGAGGGGGAUCGCAAGACCGCGCGCGACUGGGGCGGCCGAUAUCAGAUUAGGUAGUUGGUGGGGUAAGGGGCCACCAAGCCAACGAUCUGUAGGUGGUCUGAGAGGACGGACAGGCACACUGGAACGGAGACACGGUCCAGACUCCUACGGGAGGCAGCAGUGGGGAAUUUUGGACAAUGGGCGAAAGCCUGAUCCAGCCAUUCCGCGUGCAGGAUGAAGGCGCUCGGGUUGUAAACUGCUUUUGUACAGAACGAAAAGGUUUCUACUAAUACUAGGAGCUAAUGACGGUACUGUAAGAAUAAGCACCGGCUAACUACGUGCCAGCCGCCGCGGUAA
rnacentral:rRNA from 1 species